CGUAGAACCUUUAAUUUCCUUGAAAAGUCUCAUAGCCUCCCUCAUCCUCCCUUCCCUGCAGUAACUGUAAAUUAAGGAAUUAUAGGUUACAAUAUCAGGACAUACUCCUGCUCUUUCCAUCCUAUCCUGCACGCACAAAGCUUCAUAAUGCAUGCCUUUCUUGCAGUACAAUGAUAUCAAUGUGUUAUAAGUGUAAAGGUCAGGCAGUGUAGCUUUAAACUCCAUUUCUCUCAAUAAAUCAUCAGCCCGCUCUACAUCACCAGACUUACAACAGGCAUGCAUAAG
rnacentral:misc_RNA from 1 species